CGACGUAGAAUCUCCGUCGUCCGAGAGACAUCGAACGCGGUGAGCGUAUGGUCCGUUGGUUACUUGCCAAGUACUUGCCUUCUUGCCGUACUUGCCUUACUUGGGCCGGUUUGGUCGGGUAUUCACAGCCAGCUUCAAAAUGUCAAAUGUGUCACCUGACGGCAAGAAUGCAAAGAACGCCAUCUGUCGUCACUGUCCCUGCAAAAUCCUCCUAGCUGGCGACAGCAACCACAGGGAAUUUGAAGAACAGCUCCCUGCCGAAGACGGUAAUGAAACAUGGACAGUGAAAAGCUGGUGGCAAGUCGAUGACAUGUAUAGUUUCUACAAUAUCGGCUUCAGCAAGACCGUGGGUAAUAAGAAGUACCUCGUGUGUGCUGACUGUGAGCGGGGACCGAUCGGUUACCACGACCUCGAGACGAAAAAGAGCUAUCUCGCCACUGAAAUGGUGGGGUAUUCACAAUGAUAGUCGCCUCUUGUUCUGUGAGAUACAUGGUGAUUUGGGUGUUGUCUGUAAUUGAACGCGUCAUGCUAAGCUACGCUUGCCUGGUUUUUGUCACUGGGCUGUAGUAAUGCAAGAGCUUUUUCCAUUGUCAUCGCAUUGUAUUAACUGCCUUGUAAGUGCUUGUGUGGGGUAAACUGUUGCAUUGUUCAUCAUUGUUAAAGCUACACCAUCCGAGGCCGGGUUACAAGGUUCGAACUUUUAUUCGUCGUUUGUCGGUAGGUUGAUUCGACCCCAGUUUAUUGUGUAAUGCACCUUUUUUGCCCUAAGCUUUAUCCAUUCCAGAUCUUGCUAUUUUACGCUGCACGCCACCACCGCUGCAGCUAUGAACAUUGAACAGACGAGGCCGGGCCGAAGGCCGACCGAUCUUCACUUAUCACUAGUGCACGCACCAACUACGGGCAAUGAAUAAUUGAGUCGGACUAAGAUGUAGCAUGUGCGACCGUAUCAAAGUACCGAGCCGAUGAAAACCGCUUUAUCCGUCUGCAUUAGGCAAUUGAUCAUAGAUAUUCGUAUAAUAAAUGGUACAUAACAAA